CCCUACGGGGUGCAGCAGGCGCGAAAACUUUACAAUGCGGGAAACCGCGAUAAGGGGAUACUGAGUGCCAGCAUAUUAUGUUGGCUGUCCAUAUGUAUAAAUAGCAUGUGUUAGCAAGGGCCGGGCAAGACCGGUGCCAGCCGCCGCGGUAACACCGGCGGCCCGAGUGGUGGUCACUAUUAUUGGGUCUAAAGGGUCCGUAGCCGGUUUGAUCAGUCUUCCGGGAAAUCUGACAGCUCAACUGUUAGGCUUCUGGGGGAUACUGUCAGACUUGGGACCGGGAGAGGUAAGAGGUACUACAGGGGUAGGAGUGAAAUCUUGUAAUCCUUGUGGGACCACCAGUGGCGAAGGCGUCUUACCAGAACGGGUCCGACGGUGAGGGACGAAAGCUGGGGGCACGAACCGGAUUAGAUACCCGGGUAGCCCCAGCCGUAAACGAUGCUCGCUAGGUGUCUGGGACGGUGCGACCGUUUCAGGUGCCGCAGGGAAGCCGUGAAGCGAGCCACCUGGGAAGUACGGCCGCAAGGCUGAAACUUAAAGGAAUUGGCGGGGGAGCACUACAACGGGUGGAGCCUGCGGUUUAAUUGGACUCAACGCCGGAAAACUCACCCGGGGCGACAGCAAUAUGUAGGUCAGGCUGAAGGUCUUACCUGAAUCCCUGAAAGGAAGUGCAUGGCC
rnacentral:rRNA from 1 species